AGCUCAGUGGCAAAGCGCUUGCCUAGCAAGCAUGAGGCCCUGGGUUCGAUCCUCAG
rnacentral:tRNA from 1 species